AUGGAAGACUGUAAUCCGGGAAACCAGCUUGAAAGCAUCUGGAUAAGAAUCAAGGGAACCGGGACUCAAAAAGAUCUUGUCGUGGGUGUCUACUACAGACCUCCGAGUCAGGAUGAAGGACUUGAUGAAGCCUUCUGUCAACAGCUGACCAAACAGGCACAAAGAAGAGAUAUAGUAGUCAUGGGCGAUUUCAAUUAUCCCGAUAUCUGCUGGAAAACAAACUCAGCCAAGAGUACAAAGUCCAACAAAUUCCUCACUUGCCUUGCAGAUAAUUUUAUGGUCCAGAAGGUAGAAGAGGCAACAAGGGGAUCAGCAACUCUUGAUCUAAUCUUAACAAAUGUGGAAGACCUGAUCAAUACAGUUGAAGUGGUUGGAUCCUUAGGGGCAAGUGACCAUGUGCUCCUGCAGUUUGCAAUACAAAGGAAUGCUGAAACUAAGACAAGUCAAACACGCAUUCUGGACUUUAAGAGAGCUGACUUCCAAAAAAUGAAGGAAUUACUGAGCGGCAUUCCAUGGACGCCGAUAUUAAAAAACAAGGGAGUUAAGGAUGGAUGGGAGUUUUUCAAAAGCGAAAUACUCAAGGCGCAAAUGCAAACAGUGCCAACAAAGAAGAAAAAUAAGACAAGUGCAAAGAAGCCAGAAUGGAUGUCCAAAGAACUUCUAACUGAGCUAAAGCUCAAAAGUGACAUGCACAAGAAGUGGAAAAGGGGAGAAAUCACCAAAGAAGAAUUCAAACGUAUAGCCAACUCCUGUAGGGAAAAGGUUCGCAAGGCUAAAGCGCAAAAUGAGCUCAGACUUGCCAGGGACAUAAAAAACAACAAAAAAGGUUUUUUUGCUUAUGUUGGUAGAAAAAGGAAGAAAAAGGAGGCGAUAGGGCCACUGCAAGGAGUAGAUGGGGUGAUGGUGACAGGGGAUAGGGAAAAGGCAGAACUGCUUAAUGCCUUCUUUGCCUCGGUCUUCUCACAAAAAGAAAGCCAUCUUCAACCUCAGCAACAUGGAAUGGACGAAGGAUUGGGGGAAAUCCAACCCCAAAUAGGGAAACAAGUUGUCCAGGAACACCUGGCCACUCUAAACGAAUUCAAGUCCCCAGGGCCAGAUCAGCUACAUCCAAGAGUAUUGAAGGAACUAGCGGAAGUUAUUUCAGAACCACUGGCAAUCAUCUUCGAGAGUUCUUGGAGAACAGGAGAAGUCCCAGCAGAUUGGAGGAGGGCGAAUGUGGUCCCUAUCUUCAAGAAGGGAAAAAAGAACGACCCAAACAAUUACCGUCCGGUCAGCCUCACAUCAAUACCAGGCAAGAUUCUGGAAAAGAUCAUUAAGGAAGUGGUCUGCAAACACUUAGAAACAAAUGCGGUCAUUGCUAAUAGUCAACACGGAUUUACCAAAAACAAGUCAUGCCAGACUAAUCUGAUCUCUUUUUUCGAUAGAGUUACGAGUUGGGUCGAUACAGGGAAUGCCGUGGAUGUAGCAUAUCUAGAUUUCAGUAAGGCCUUCGACAAAGUCCCCCACGACCUUCUGGCAAACAAACUAGUAAAAUGUGGGCUAGACAAAACUACGGUUAGGUGGAUCUGUAAUUGA
ensembl:lncRNA